rnacentral:lncRNA from 1 species
CUCUUACAGGCCCUCCCUGGCCGUGGCUGGUAAAGGGCUGUGCUUGGACAUCCUUGUGUGCUUUGCCUCCUCCCCACAAGACGUUCUUCUGUGACUUUUUUCUUCUGGCUACACCCUGAAGUUUGCCGUUCCAACCAGGCGGGGAAUGGAAAGUUAAGAGUGACGUCCUCUGACACCUCCCUUCUUGUAGAAGAGUCUGAAGUUAGUUUAAGCUGAACCCAGGAUACCAAAGAUAGAGGUUUGAGUCAGCUCACUCUGGGUUAGGCGCUGCUUUUCACUCUCCUGGUUCCUCCUUUCCUCCCCUCCCCCACCAGCCAGUUGUUUCCUGGGCUUUGUCUGAGAUACGCUGCAGUUUAGCCCAGUCCACCACCGCCCGCGGUACCAGAGUCGAGAUGGAGGAGAAGCCUCCAGGAAGUUCCUGACAACACUAAGCUCAACACUAAGGCUGCCGCUGCCUCUGCUGAUAGUCCAGGACAGCAGUAACCUCAGGAGAAAGGCAUCCCGAGGCCGCUGGGCUGGGCUCCGCUAACUCUAGGGAGGAGAAAGGACAGGCCUGAAAAUGCCUCUCUUAGAUUCAUCUUAUUUGCCACCAACCAUCUUUAUUUUGACUCACAUUCUUGGAAUUGCUGGCGUUCUAUACUGGAAGAGAUGUGCCCAGGGCAAAACAGGUAACUAAUUGGUGCCAGUUC